rnacentral:rRNA from 1 species
UUGAUCCUGGCUCAGAAUCAACGCUGGCGGCGUGCCUAACACAUGCAAGUCGAACGCGGUUAGUAGCAAUACUAACUGAGUGGCGAACGGGUGAGUAACUCGUGGGUGACCUACCUUCGAGUGGGGGAUAACGUCCCGAAAGGGACGCUUAUACCGCAUGACAUCCUGCCUUUGAACAGGCGGAGAUCAAAGCCGGGGAUCGCAAGACCUGGCGCUUGAUGAGGGGCCCGCGUCUGAUUAGCUAGUUGGUGAGGUAACGGCUCACCAAGGCGACGAUCAGUAUCCGGCCUGAGAGGGCGUACGGACACACUGGGACUGAGACACGGCCCAGACUCCUACGGGAGGCAGCUGUGGGGAAUUGUUCACAAUGGGCGCAAGCCUGAUGACGCAACGCCGCGUUGAGGAUGAAGGUCUUCGGAUUGUAAACUCCUGUUGCUCGGGAAGAAUGGUUCCGACCUAAUACGUCGGAGUGUGACGGUACCGGGUGAGGAAGCCCCGGUUAACUCUGUGCCAGCAGCCGCGGUAAUAAGGU